GCGUGAGUGAAAAAGGCCUUAGGGUUGUAAAGCUCUUUCACCCGUGACGAUGAUGACGGUAGCGGGAGAAGAAGCCCCGGCUAAUUCCGUGCCAGCAGCCGCGGUAAUACGGAAGGGGCUAGCGUUGUUCGGAUUUACUGGGCGUAAAGCGCGCGUAGGCGGCGGACCGAGUUAGGCGUGAAAGCCCUGGGCUCAACCCGGGAACUGCGCUUAAGACUGGUUUGCUUGAGUCCGGGAGAGGGUGGUGGAACUCCCAGUGUAGAGGUGAAAUUCGU
rnacentral:rRNA from 1 species